rnacentral:misc_RNA from 1 species
AUUGAUACGUACGAAAAAAUAUUUGGCAAAAAUGCAUAUUGAACAACUACGAACAUUUUGGGGACCAAAAACACAUUGGAUAUACAGAUAUAGAUAUUCUGGACAAGGAAAUAAUAUUCAGACUUGUUCCACAUUGGACUUUUUAAGAACCACACUGGCGAUGGCAGUUGGAGAUGGACAGACAACUCUGUGUUAGUGUAUAACAACUGGCUACCGAGUUCACAAAGAAUGGAUGGACCGUUUACCGGCCUAAACAUGGUUUACGAUGGAGUGUCUAGUUACUGGAGACAAGUAUAUGAUUUCGAGAUGUUACGUUAUAUCUGCGAGAAACCAUAGGUGUAUGUCAAACUGAGACCUUUUUCCCCUCUUUCGUGAGGUUCCGUAAUGCGGUGUUCAACUACGAAGAUACACGGACUUUUCGCCGAAAAAAUAUUUGCUUACAGACUUUUCGCGAUAGACUGUUCUAAUCCUGAGCUUAAAUCUGAAUAUGACCUAUGUAUGUCUAAAUCUCAGCCAAAACCUAUUAUUAACUCUUAACAAUCAGUCAUUUAACAGCCUAUCGGCUAAACGUCUUUCGGCGAAAGUUUUACAAAUCGAAAGACUUAAGUUAAGACGCACUCUCAGCUGUUACAAUAAAAAGACAAAAUAUUUUUGGUAUAUUUUAGACAAAAUUAAUGAUAAAACAUUUUUAAAUUAUAUAUAUCAAAAACCAACUUAAUGGCAUAUGACAAAUGACUGUCAAAAUGACCAUAUGUUUUACAUGCAAUCAAACACUCGUUAUCACACUAACAAACAAUCCACAUUUAAAUUUAAAUUAUAGUCUAGUAAUCAA